GAUGGACCAGGUCCAUCCCUGAGUCCAUUUGUCAAUCUUCAAAACUUCAACUAAACUUGGCCAACAGGCCCAAAGCCUAUGAUUCAAUUUUAAAUCAUCUAAACCCAAUAACUUUGGUUAAUAAACAGAAUUUUCAAUAGGUUAGGCCUCGAAACAUCCCAUGGGAAGGACAGAACGCUUCAGUUCUACUCAAAUGAGUUGUUCGGAGUCUGGGCCUUAAUCACAAGCUCAAAUUUUAUUUGCACAAGAGGUCGGACUGCCUGGGCUCGGAAC
rnacentral:lncRNA from 1 species